rnacentral:rRNA from 1 species
AACGAACGCUGGCGGCAGGCUUAACACAUGCAAGUCGAACGCGUGUAGCAAUACACGAGUGGCGCACGGGUGAGUAACGCGUGGAUAUCUGCCUUUUGGUUCGGAAUAACCCCGGGAAACUGGGGCUAAUACCGGAUGGUUCCUUCGGGAUAAAGAUUUAUCGCCAAAAGAUGAGUCCGCGUACGAUUAGCUAGUUGGUGAGGUAAUGGCUCACCAAGGCGACGAUCGUUAGCUGGUCUGAGAGGACGAUCAGCCACACUGGGACUGAGACACGGCCCAGACUCCUACGGGUGGCAGCAGUGGGGAAUAUUGGACAAUGGGGGCAACCCUGAUCCAGCCAUGCCGCGUGAGUGAUGAAGGCCUUCGGGUUGUAAAGCUCUUUUGGCGGGGACGAUGAUGACGGUACCCGCAGAAUAAGCCCCGGCUAACUUCGUGCCAGCCGCCGCGGUAAGAC